rnacentral:lncRNA from 1 species
CACGCACGCACGCACGCACGCACACACACGCACACACCCAUAUGUAUAUUACAUUUAUACAAAUAUAUACAUAUAUCUGUGUGUAUAUACACACAUGCAUGCCACCAUAACUAGAAAAAGGGAUUAUGAACUUGAAGGAGUGGGAGAAACCUUGGAAGAGUUUAAUGGGGAUCAGGAGGCCUAGAAUACAGUACUCAUGUGUGAAAUAUUAAAAAUAAAAUAAAAAGGCAAGAGAUAGAAUAUUUGUGAAACAGUCUCACGUUCUGGAAGAGCUGACAUUAGGGUAGAAUAUGGCUUGUCCUCUGAUCGCUUCCUUGUUCUGUGGGCGUGAGACUGGAGGGGGUGGCGUGUCCUCCCACAGUGUGAGGAUGAGGUGUGUGCGUGGUGUGGCUGGCACGUUUACACAGUUGCCUUGUCUACUGCUUAGUUAUUGCAACUCUGGUCCAAACUGUCAUUCAGUUUUUUUUCUGCUGCAAGGUAAGAGUAGUCCAGAGCUGCUGAGGUGGAAGAGGAAGAGCGUUGGUCUAACGGCUGCUGCGGGUCCAGCUCGUGAAAGGAGGCUUUUCUGACCACUUGGAAUUGAGCUAGCCUGUUGUGAGUGCCGUCUUUAGGGGUGGACGCUCAGUGUGCUGCUUGCUCUUCAUUCUCACCGUGUCAGUUCACUUGUACUCUGAGAAGGGCUGGGGAAGUCUUGUCAUCCCUCUCCAGCAAGGACCAGAAGCUGGAACUGUGAGGCAGCAGGAGUUUCAGCUCCCUUCAGCUUUCAGAACAAGGUCCUUCAGAGUAGCUGAGCAGGAGUGGCGGGGAGACACGGAGUGGAAAGUACUCUAAUCCCAGAGUUUAGGGAAGUUUUCCCUCUGCCCUUGUUACUUACUAGUGUGAGCUUUACCUGGAUGUGCUGUGUCUGUGUGUCACAAACCCUGCAAAGAGAAUAUGACUUCUAGUGUACCUGGAGUUGAGGCUUUCAGUUUUCUCAUGGGAAAAAUAGGUGAAGACUUGAAUCUACCUGUAUAAAACAGGGAAGAAAAAAUAAUAGUUUAUUUAUUUAUUUUUAACUCACAACUGAAUGGGAGAUAAAACCCGGGAAAAUGGUGGGAGGGGUCCUGGAGAUAAGGUUCAGUGAUAGAGUUCUUGCCUAUCCUAUAGGAAUCUGUGAGUUCCAUCCCCAGUACUGCAGAAAACAAAUACAAAAGACAAAACAAUACUGAGUGAGAGAAUCAGGAAAGGACUUGAAAGAGCAACUAGUACUGUCUGUCCUACCUUAUUUCCAAAUUAGAAUUUACAUUUACUGAUGAUUGGGGUAGAGCUUUUUCUCUUGGUAAAUGAAUCAUUUUGUCAUUUUUAGACAUGCAUUAUGCUGUGUGCUUGCCAUUAGUUCUGAUUCCUAAGAAGGCAAAGUUAGGGAUACAGCAUGCUUCUGUUCCUAGAGCAAAUGGUUGAGCAUUUCAGACAAGGAUCUACGUAAUCCUUUUUGAAGUUGGUAGUUGAUCUCCACACAUCUUAUUUAAAAAACAAACAGUAUAAUUGUUAGAAAAUAAAUCUGCCUGAUGAUUCUUCUGGAGACAGCUGUGUGAUCUAUGUCCCAGAGGAGCUCAUUAGUGCUUGGAGUGACCGGUGGGCAGGAGAAAGAUGCCAGGUAGUUGAGGCCGCUCUGAGUGGUGACGUUUCAUGCACCCUUCACUACCUUGCCAGCUCAGAAGAAUGCUGUGUUUGCUGUCAAAUUUGUUUCAGUAAAUCUCCCAGCUUUCCUAGAUUGCCUUGUUUGUGUUUUAAGGCAUUUCAACUUUAAAAAUCCCUAACAGUUAAGCAGGACAGCUAUGCAAGGUCUUGGCUCUUCCCCGGAGGUGACGGACACACAUCAGAAGUGUGGCUAAGAAUAGUUUUGUGGUGUCCAGAAGGCUAAUGGUCUUUUUACCAGUAGUCCAUCCUUCCUUAUUGUGCUGACUGGUAGGAUAUGCACAUGAUUGUAUUUCCUUGCUAGUAUUCCUAUAAGAAAAAAGUGAGCAUUUUCCAUGUUUCCUUUAUGGAAAAGUUGUGUACACCAUGACUUUUCACAGACAAUAUUGUAUGACUGUGGUCCAACUUCUCAUUAUUUUUCAAAAGAUGUAGGUUGUAGAUUACUUGUGUAGCAUUUUGUGAUCCUAGUUUAGGUAAUGCCAGAGGAGUUGUGACUUUACUUGAGGUCAUUUUAUUCAGUCUCCUGCUUUAGGGUAGAAUUUUCCUUUUACUAUCGAUUCCUGAACCUUCUGCAUCUUCUCCACCCUUCCCUGCUGUGGGCUGUAGUGUGCUCACUGAGAGUCUGCUGUUUUUAAUCUACUCUUAAUCUUACACAAAGGGAAAUAUCCUAAGAGUGGGUCAGACUCUUCCUUCCUGUGAGCCUUUCCCUGG